rnacentral:misc_RNA from 1 species
CGCGCACCCUCCAUCGGUGUGCCACAUCUCUGUGACCUCUUUUUUCCUUGUAUUAUAGGUUUCGUAGCCGCGGCUCCGCAUGCGCUGACGGAAGACGAGAAGACAAGAAUAAGAGCUAAAAACAACUUGCGGCGGAAAGCACCACGUGUAGUCGCACUCAUACGUAGAGCGCACCGCGAACAACGCCAUGCAGGUCAACUCGCUCUUGGAGCGUAUGCGGAAGGUGCGGCAGGAAAAGGCUGCCGCUGCUGCCGCCGCUGCCGCCGCUCCACCAGCAGUGACCAACGCGACCGCCACUGUCCCUGCUGCAAACGCAGCGAUCAGAGACGCACCCGUGUCGAGCGCCGCUGACGCGGAUACCGCGGGUGGCGGCGGCGUCGUGUCGUCGUCGUUGCUGACAGGUGUGACGGUGCCGGCCCCGCCGCCCGUGUUCGCCUCUCCAUCCUCGGCGCGGCUUGAGUACCGUGACAACGCAAAGGAUCCGCUCUGUGUGCCCUUCACAUGCGACAUGGUUGUACCAGUUCUGAACGCGCUCCUCAGCAAUCAACAGCACGGCUCAACGUCAACUGUUGCCGCUGCCGCUUCCGGAGGCCUUAAUGGUGCCGUGGUGCCCAUGAUGACGGAGGCGGUCAACAGCAUUGACGCCACUGGGGGCGAUACCCGUGACGUGAGUGCAUUGAGCAGUGCUUCGGCAGAGAUCCCGGGCGCCGGCCGCGACAGCAGCGGGAAGGAGAGCCAGUCUAUUGUGGUGGCGAAGGCUGUCGUGCGUAUGCGAGAGGUGCUGGCAGCGCAAGGGCCUCCGCAGAUGCCCCAGAAAGCGGCAGUGGAGAGCGUGCCAUCCAUCACCGCCACCGGCACUGCUACUGCUGCUGGCGCGCCGGUCUCUUCUCUUCGCCCAUCUAGCGCUUCCUUGUUUGCCGAUGCAGCAUACAAUACUGCCUGCGCCGUGGCCCGCGUCGAUGUCUCCGGCGCCGUUCGACCCAUCUGCAGGGAUGUGAACUACUACACUCGAGUCGGCCGCAUCUCGCAGGGUGUGUACGGCGUCGUCUUCCGCGCCGUCACCACGGCGGACUACGAGCGGCAGCAUCGGCAACAAUCUCGCCACCGCGUGACUCGACCGGGCUCAGCCGCUUCGUCAGCCGCUGCACCGCCAGGGCACGUGCGCACAUAUGCUCUGAAGCACAUAAAAAAGAUGUGGCUAGAGGACUCGCAGGUUGGGCUUCCGCCAUACUUGAUGCGAGAGAUCGAUCUACUGCUGCGGUUGCAGCAUCCCAACAUCAUGGGCGCACUGGAGCUCGUCUUGCUAGACCCGACGCCGGUCCCGCGCCGCCUGGCAUCACCACCCAAAUCGUGCUCGCCCUCCUCCUCAUCGUCGGAGUCGCCAUCGUCGUCGUCGUCGUUGUCGUCGGAGUCGCCAUCAACCGAGCAGCACGCAGAGGAGGCUGCGGAGUGCGAUCGCGCCCUUCGCCGGCUUCGCUCCACGGCGGAGGACACAGCGGGGCAAAACUUAGCGAAGAAGGCGAAGAUCGACAACGCCGAAGAGCCACUGCCGCAGCGGGAAGAGGCCCGGCCCGCCACGCAAGCUCAAACUAAAGGUGAGAAAGGCGCUGCUCAGGACGCUGCUGCCACACGUCCGCUGGCCGCCGUUGGCGCUGCAAGCAAGGCGAAGGACGUCUUCCUUGUAAUGGACUACUGCCCCUACGACCUGGGGAGUUACAUGCGGCGGUACGCGACUGCAGCAGAGCUCUACGGCGACGGCGACGACUGCAAGUCUACUCACGCGAGUGCACAGGUGCCGUACUUCCACAUCACGCCACGCAACGCGCAUCCGCAGGCGGCGGCGAGCUACGUGGCACGCGCCAAGUCCAUCGUGUACCAGAUCUUGCGUGCCGUGGCGUUUCUGCACGACAGCCGCAUUCUCCACCGCGACCUGAAGACGUCGAACGUACUGCUUGGCGAGGAUGGCUACGUGAAGGUGUGCGACUUCGGCCUUGGUCGCCUCUACCGUGAAGGCCAGGCGCUCACCCCCACCGUUGUGACGCUCAUGUAUCGCGCGCCGGAGCUGCAUUUUGGUGUCGUCGACUAUUCUCACAAAAUGGACGUCUGGUCGGUCGGGUGCAUCUUCGCCGAGCUCUUCCUGCGACGUCCUCUUUUUCACGCCUCGACCGACAGUCACCACCUCCUGGCUGUGUGUGAGGUGCUAGGCAUUCCGACGGAGGAGUCGUUCCCGGGCUUGUAUCACCUUCCCCAGACGAAGACAAUGAUGCAGUCGCUGCCGCGCUGGAACCGCACGUCGCGGCUGGCGAGCCUCUUCCAACGUGGCGCUGUCCUCCCCACCGUAGCACACGGCGAUGUUCCGGUGGCAGCGGAGGGCGCGCUAUUGCCUGAAAGCGGGGUGGAUCUGCUCGCGUCGGUGCUGCAGUGGAACCCGCGCCGCCGCCCAUCUGCUGCCGAGGCGCUGCAGCACCCAUUCUUCAAGGAGGAACCGCUGCCAUGCGCGCCAGCAGAGCUGAUGAGGCCUAUGCCGUGGAUGGACGCUGCCAUUGCUGCUUGUAAUGCCGCGCCUUCCGCAGCACUUGUUCCCGAGGAUCGGCGUGAUCAGCCUGGGAGCCGGGGGUCUCAGGGUUGCCCUUCCACGGCAACACAUAUGGCACCAAGUACAACUGGACGGCCGUCUUCUGCGAGCGUACCACCAGCUAUGCAGCAUGUGGCAGACAUUCCCAGCGGAGUGGAGGCGACUGUCGCAGCCGUUUCAUCAGCGUCUGAAGGCGCAACUGCUGCGUCGCCGCUUGCGAGCGCCUCACCGGAUACGUUCCUUGGAGGCAGCCGUAGCGUUUUCGUGAGCGACACUGUUGGUGGCGGAUACCAGCAAGCCAUCAGUACCCGUGACUACAGCGGCAGCGAUGGAGACCUCGCAGAGGAGGACGAAGAGGAGCAACGGUUGCAGCUGCACACGCGCCGCAGCACGCGCGACCAGGUCGAAGACGACGACGACAGUGAUGCGGAGACGGAGCGAGUGGGGCGACAAGCACGGUUCCUCGCGAACCAAGACCGAGAUGAGUGAGAUGGAGACCCCACUUCCCACUCCCUGUCGGUAGUGGGUGCUCGAUUUCUGUGGUUGUCUUGCAACUCCAACCCUCUCUCUAUCUCCCAUGCGAGCGCGUGUGCGGGUGCGCGCAUGUGUGAUUGAACGUGUGUCUGUGUCUGUGCGCGCUCUCCUCCUGUUGCUGCCGACUCCGCUGCCUGCCUCCCCUGCCACCGCGGUAGGUGGCGGCGUUGUGGUAGUCGUGUUGGCGGUGAGCUGCAAUUGCUUUUUCUCUUCCUCCUCUUCCCUGCUCUUGCGCCACUCGGUUAGGCGCUUCGCGACCGACGCACGCACGAACGAGAGAGAGAGGCAGAGAGGCAGAGCCAUGAGGCACAUGUUGAGGCUCGCGCAGGGGUUUCACCCUCCCAAAUCAUUAGUUGCCAUCGCACCGCUCUACUUCCUCAGAGAUACCCGACACCGCUGACGCGGCCGUGUGUAUGUGAGCGUGUGCAUGCGCACUGUGUCUGCCGCAACCCUUCCCCUAUCAUCCGCCCUUCCUCACCCCCCCGCUUCUCACUCUCACCCUCUCACCCUCUCUCCGAUUCUCGACUCCCAUCCGUGGUACCGCCACCUACCUGUGCCACUGCCGCCGUUCUCCCCCGCUUUCCUUCUGCAUCGCCGCAACCGUUGUCCUUUCUCUCUUACUUUUGCAAG